CUCUGGUUUGGAGAUCUUUGUAAGCUGGUGAAGGAAAACAAUAAGCACAAAGCUUAGAAGUAACUCUUUUUCUUUCUACAAGUGAAUAGCUCCCUUAAAAGUAUUCUAGUGCAUAAGUAGGAGACUGCAAACACUGGGAAGGAAUAAAGCCAGAAGUUCUUCUCCACAAAAAGGAAAAGCUCCCGAACUCGUGCAAACAGAAGGAACCGGGGAAAAGAGGGAAUGCCUUAGACACAGGUGUGGUGUAUGUGAUGCUUGAAACUAAACUGUAAAAACCUGACUUCAGCAUGAAUGGGGACGGAGAAGAGAGAUGGCAGGACAUCGCUUGUCAUGCUUAUGCUAUUGAAAGCAAACAAUCAUCUGCCUGAAGUUUCCUUCAGAUGAAAACACAGGGGUUUCAGCCCUGCAGAUAUUAGCAUCUUGUUGGAGCCUGCCUUCAUUUUGGACCCCCCACUUUGAGACCAACUCAGAUACCAGCUUUGCUAAGAACCACAUUUCUAAGAUGAGACAACCACCCCCAACACAUUCCUACAUGGCAGCUGGAGUGGGACAUCCUAACAUACCAGGAUCUACCUGCACGGACCAGCAAUUGUAAGGCAACUAAGGGAAGGGUCAGAGCUGUUCCAACAAAUGUCACCAAUGUUUUCACAACAGGCAUCAUCCUAAAUUGCAGCUUAGGAAAAUGCUACCUCCAAGAGGGAAGGCAGGGGGUAAAAUGAGUAAAGUAUCUAUUGCUAUUUCUCUCCAAGAAAAAUAUGAUCUAUUUAACCCCAUACCCUGAAAGUAAAAGCAGAAUUUUUCCACCUCCCCUCUAAAUAAUUACGAUAUUUGCCAAUACAGUUUGUGAUCAAAUCAACAUGUCUAAACCAUGAAAACAUAACACACACACUUACCAAAGCUUGUUGUAGGCGUCUAGAUAUUCUGGUUUUACAUUGUGAACUGAAACAACAACAUUACGUGAGAAAUGCAGGAACAGAAUGAAGAAAUGGUAAUGUGAAAUAUAAAAGUAUCACUCACUCUGCAGUUUA